GGUUAAGCGACUAAGCGUACACGGUGGAUGCCCUGGCAGUCAGAGGCGAUGAAGGACGUGCUAAUCUGCGAAAAGCGUCGGUAAGGUGAUAUGAACCGUUAUAACCGGCGAUGUCCGAAUGGGGAAACCCAGUGCAAUUCGUUGCACUAUCGUUAACUGAAUACAUAGGUUAACGAGGCGAACCGGGGGAACUGAAACAUCUAAGUACCCCGAGGAAAAGAAAUCAACCGAGAUUCCCCCAGUAGCGGCGAGCGAACGGGGAGCAGCCCAGAGUCUGAAUCAGCUUGUGUGUUAGUGGAACGGUCUGGAAAGUCCGACGGUACAGGGUGAUAGUCCCGUACACCAAAAUGCACAGGCUGUGAACUCGAAGAGUAGGGCGGGACACGUGGUAUCCUGUCUGAAUAUGGGGGGACCAUCCUCCAAGGCUAAAUACUCCUGACUGACCGAUAGUGAACCAGUACCGUGAGGGAAAGGCGAAAAGAACCCCGGCGAGGGGAGUGAAAAAGAACCUGAAACCGUGUACGUACAAGCAGUGGGAGCACCUUCGGGUGUGACUGCGUACCUUUUGUAUAAUGGGUCAGCGACUUAUAUUCUGUAGCAAGGUUAACCGUAUAGGGGAGCCGCAGGGAAACCGAGUCUUAACUGGGCGUUAAGUUGCAGGGUAUAGACCCGAAACCCGGUGAUCUAGCCAUGGGCAGGUUGAAGGUUGGGUAACACUAACUGGAGGACCGAACCGACUAAUGUUGAAAAAUUAGCGGAUGACUUGUGGCUGGGGGUGAAAGGCCAAUCAAACCGGGAGAUAGCUGGUUCUCCCCGAAAGCUAUUUAGGUAGCGCCUCGUGAAUUCAUCUUCGGGGGUAGAGCACUGUUUCGGCUAGGGGGUCAUCCCGACUUACCAACCCGAUGCAAACUACGAAUACCGAAGAAUGUUAUCACGGGAGACACACGGCGGGUGCUAACGUCCGUCGUGAAGAGGGAAA
rnacentral:rRNA from 1 species